GACGAACGCUGGCGGCGUGCUUAACACAUGCAAGUCGAACGGAAAGGCCCUGCUUUCAGGGUGCGCUAGUGUGGAACGGGGGAGUAACACAUGGGUGAUCUCCGCUCCACAUCUUGAUAAGCCUUGGAAACUGUGGCUAAUACCGGGGAUGAGCCAUUCUGCUGCUUGUGGGUGGAAAGUAUUUUCGGUGUAGGAUGAGCUCGCGGCCUUUCUGCCUGCUGGUUGGUUAAUGGGCUACCAAGGCGGUCAAGGGUAGCCGGCCUGAGAGGGUGGACGGCCCCAUUGGGGAUGAGAUACGGCCCAGACUCCCAAGGGGGGCAGCAGUGGGGAAUAUUGCACCAUGGGGGCAAGCCUGAUGCAGCGAAGGCGCGUGGGGGAUGACGGGCUUCGGGUUGUAAACCCCCUUCGCCCGGGACGAAGCUUUUUGUGACGGUACCUAGAUAAGAAGCACCGGCUAACUACGUG
rnacentral:rRNA from 1 species